GCCACCGUAGCUCAGUUGGUAGAGCGACGCACUCGUAAUGCGUAGGUCUGCGGUUCGACUCCGCACGGUGGCUCCA
rnacentral:tRNA from 1 species